CUUUUUCACUUGUUUUUAUAUGUAUGUAUGUAUGUACAUAUAUUUACAAAUGCUGGUAUGUGUGCGUAUGUGUGUUGCAUAGAUUGAAGAGAAAAUGUAUUUGGCGUGUCUGCAUAAUAAACGAAUAUAGUCGUAUAACACAUUAAUUGUGUAUUAAUUAUAGUUUGAUGGAACAUCAAUGGCCUAUUAAUGUAUAUAAAUCUAUUCAUCAGCUCGUUUGGCUAAAAAUCCUCGUCGCUAUUGUGCUCCGGCUUGAUCGCCGUUUUCGGGCGCAGUGGCAGCUCGCCCGUUAGUUUUGAUAUGCUAAUAUCAUCGAUAGAGUUAAGAUCAACUAGACUUACAAUCAUCAUCACCCUUGCCAGGGCCCAUACCCACGUUGAAAUCACUAUCGGAACUGCUAAAGCUACUGUCGUUAUCUCCAAAGCGAAUGAGCAUGUUGCUACUUGGUCCAUCUCGUCCAAUGCGUGUGGGGCGUGCGCCGCUUGAGGUAGCUGCAGAUACCGUGGCUGCCGCUCUUCGAAUACAUCCAGUGGUAGGACGUUUGCGAGAGGUGGCCGUCCCAGGUCUCUUAUUGGGUGCCGCCGUUGACGAGCCGACAACCGACCCGGGAUGGACACCUCUGUCUGCUGUGGUGCUCUGUAGCAUUAAAUCUUCGUCGCGUAUGUCGGGUAUUUCUGAGUCCAGACCGAAGGCCGCCUCUCGUGACAGUCCGUUGCCCAUAUGAACACCAUCUUCGUCUUCAUCGUCAUCGUCCUUGAUAAGGCUCUCUGGUAUAAAUGACAUCGAGCUCUCUGUCGGCUUCUGAAGUAUUGGCGAUGAAAUGGGUGAACCACGUCGCUUGAUGCGUGCUUUCAGCUCCCUCUCGCAUUCCUCAAACUCUGACAUGUGAGCGGGCCGAAUUUUUUGGAGUGCCUCUAGUCUCUGCUUGGUUCUCUCCAGCUCUGCU